rnacentral:rRNA from 1 species
CACGUAGGGGGCAAGCGUUAAUCGGAAUUACUGGGCGUAAAGCGUGCGCAGGCGGUUUUGUAAGUUUGUCGUGAAAGCCCCGGGCUCAACCUGGGAAUUGCGAUGAAGACUGCAAGGCUUGAAUCUGGCAGAGGGGGGUAGAAUUCCACGUGUAGCAGUGAAAUGCGUAGAGAUGUGGAGGAACACCGAUGGCGAAGGCAGCCCCCCUGGGUCAAGAUUGACGCUCAUGCACGAAAAGCGUGGGGGAGCAAACAGG